rnacentral:rRNA from 1 species
UACGUAGGGUGCAAGCGUUGUUCGGAAUUACUGGGCGUAAAGGGCGCGUAGGUGGCCUUCUAAGUUGAACGUCGAAAUACCCUGGGCUCAACCCAGGACGUGCGUCCAAGACUGGGAGGCUUGAAUCCGGGAGAGGGAUGCGGAAUUCCAGGUGUAGCGGUGAAAUGCGUAGAUAUCAAGAGGAACACCUGAGGUGAAGACGGGUUGCUGGGCCGACACUGACGCUGGAGUGCGCGAAAGCCAGGGGAGCAAACGGG